GGAAAACGCAACACCACUAGCAAAGAGCAUGUAAUUAUUAUAAUGUUUUAUAGCGAGCCAAAAUACACCGCAGUAACCCCUGUUAACUGUAGUGUAGGCCGAUCGAAAGCAGUCACCUCUGCGAAACCAUUAUGAGUAAUAGCAGAAUGUUGUAAAUAGAGCCCUUCAAUACUAAACAUCUAACAGUCGCCCCUGCUGACUGUUGUUAACACAACCACUAAACAUUUAACAGUCGCCCCUGCUAACUGUUGUUCACACACAGAAAGGAAUAAAAUAGUCAGAAAUAACAGUUUAAUUUAAGUGAAUAAUUACUAAUGAACAUUAAUAUAUCUGGUGAUCAAGAAGAGAUGUCCGCCCCUGCUAGACAGGCCCUCUGGACCACCAAAUAUGCUAUGCAACGGACCAAGUGACAACACCCCGCGACAUUGUCGCCCGGUUUGGAAGGAUUGUGUUACUCAGAUAAUGAAGCAGUCGUUGAAAGAGAUGAAACUCGAAUAUACUUUUGAAAUGCAUUCGUUUUCCACCGACCUAGAAGACGAAUCUGUGCAUCGGACAAACCAUUCUCAGCAGCGAAAGAUGCUGCACCGAUUCGAAACGAAUGUGAUUUGUAAUGCGACAGACUUAGGUCACAGUAUUUGAGGCAAGCAACAAGGUUAGCGGUAAAAACUUUUCUCGGCACCGCGACGCCCUCCACUGUCAUAAAUACUGGACCCGGACUACAGCCACGAUGAUUUAAAUAUGUUGAUAAUAAUUGUACAGGGCAAGCGCUUGUUUGCCGGUGAUGACCAUAGUAAAUGGUCGCUGAUUGUAGUUAUGCUUGUAAUCAGCAAAUAUUAAUUUGUAACCAAUCACUUCACCAUCUCUUGAGAGUUUGGUGAGCUGGUUUAACUGUAUAGGGCAAUUGCCCGGCUGUGAUGUUGCGGUGAUCUCACCCAUGCUCAAAAAUGCGAAGAAUGCUAGAGCACACAUCGCACGAAAUUGGCACUGGUCGUAGUACGUAGCGACACAGUGUGGCACAGCCAUUACUAAUCGAUUUAAAAUCGUUAGCGUAAUAGGCAACCUAGCGUCCAAACGAAAACCCUGUUUGCCAUAGCCUUUCAACAUUUGCACAAUGUAAAAUAUUUUAGUGGGAUUCAUCAAUCCCAUUAAUUUGUGGGAAUAGCCGAGAGCCGAGACGUAAGUGUUGACAGUAGAGGGGGCGUAGCGCCGGUCAAACAUGUAGGCGAUAAAAAGUGCUAAUGUAGGAGGCGAAAUUGGUAAUUUAUAUGAAAAUGUUUGAAACACAUGAGAAUGAAAUUGGUCAAAAAGUUUCCAAGCGCGUCGGUAAGUCGGAAUUGAGGAUGGCUGGAGGCUCGAUUGUGUCAAGUGGGAAACGAUAUUUCCCAAUUCGAUGGCAACAGAUGCCGCGGAAUGUCCGUUGCACAGGAAUUCAUCGAGGCUGGUGCUUCGCGUUUGAAGGUUUGAACCUGAAAUCGAGACAAAAGAUCAGCCAGGCGAUUGUACGUCCCAGGAAUGUGUUUGGCUUUAAAUAAAAUAUUGUGGUUUAAACAAACAAGAAUAAGCUUGCGAACAAAAAACAUCAAUGCCUUGUCCUUGCAUGAUUGCUUAUUAAUGACAUGAACGAGUGCUUCAUUAUCAGUAAAAAAUAAAAUGCUAUGAUUCGCCAUCUUAUGACCCCAUAAAUACAGACUCAGAACAAUGGGGUAGAAUUCCAAAAUGGCAAUGUUACGGUGGCGCCAGUGAUCGGGCCAGAAACCGUGGCAGAAUUCCGUGCCAAAAAUUGCACCAAAACCGAUGCCACCCGCGGCGUCCGUGAACAAAUUAAGUUUAGAGGAAUUUUGCCAUCUGUCAUCAAGAAAGAAUGAUCGGCCAUUAAAUGUUGACAGGAAAGAUAACCAAACGUUUAAAUCCUCUUUAGCCUCGCCAUUAAGUUUUAUUAGGUGAUGAGAGAAACGGACGCCGUGGGUGAGAUCGAUCAGUCGACUCAAAAAUGCCCUUCCUGGGGUGACGACGCUGCACGCAAAAUUUAACAGGCCAACUAGGGACUGAAUUUCGUGCAAAGUUUUUUCGCUGAUAAACUCCACGCAUUUUUGCAGCUUAUCGCGAGGUAAACGCACUUCAAGAUUAAUGGUAUAAACGCUCAAUUCCGGCGAAAGAUAGGGUUGUCGAAGGCCCAAAGGUUUUCUCUUGUGCCAGCGGCAGACCAAUAAAUGCACAAAAUGCUAGAAAGCAUCAAGUAAAUGUAAAAUAUAGUCGAUAUCGAGUUUGUGUUGAGCAAUCCAUUGAAGCGCAGUACUAAAAACUUCAAAGGUUUUGCAAGAACUGGCUGCACGCAUAGGCAAGCAGCGAUCGAAAUAAAACCGUCCGCGCCAUUUCAUGCCCAACAGAUAAUGGUCGGAGGGUCGAAUUGGUAUAAUGCGAAAAGCGUUCUUCACGUCGGUUUUUGCAAGAAAACAUCCAGGUCCCGCGAGUUUAAUUAAACGAAUAGCAUCUGCAACUGUGGCAUAGUGCACGCUAGUGUUUUCGGUAGCUAUGCCAUCGUUGACAGAAGAACCG
rnacentral:lncRNA from 1 species